GACGAACGCUGGCGGCGUGCCUAAUACAUGCAAGUAGAACGCUGAAGACUUUAGCUUGCUAGAGUUGGAAGAGUUGCGAACGGGUGAGAAACGCGUAGGUAACCUGCCUAUUAGUGGGGGAUAACUAUUGGAAACGAUAGCUAAUACCGCAUAAUAGUGUUUAACACAUGUUAGAGACUUUAAAGAUGCAAUUGCAUCACUAGUAGAUGGACCUGCGUUGUAUUAGCUAGUUGGUGGGGUAACGGCCUACCAAGGCGACGAUACAUAGCCGACCUGAGAGGGUGAUCGGCCACACUGGGACUGAGACACGGCCCAGACUCCUACGGGAGGCAGCAGUAGGGAAUCUUCGGCAAUGGGGGCAACCCUGACCGAGCAACGCCGCGUGAGUGAAGAAGGGUUUCGGAUCGUAAAGCUCUGUUGUAAGAGAAGAACGUGUGUGAGAGUGGAAAGUUCACACAGUGACGGUAACUUUCCAGAAAGGGACGGCUAACUACGUGCCAGCAGCCGCGGUAAUACGUAGGUCCCGAGCGUUGUCCGGUUUUAUUGGGCGUAAAGCGAGCGCAGGCGGUUUAAUAAGUCUGAAGUUAAAGGCAGUGGCUUAACCAUUGUUCGCUUUGGAAACUGUUAAACUUGAGUGCAGAAGGGGAGAGUGGAAUUC
rnacentral:rRNA from 1 species